UGUCUUGCUUUGACUCACUCAACCUGGGUGUGAUGUUAUUUCGAUAUGGUAUCCAUCACAACCUCCUUGAGUGAGCGAUAGCAGGACA
ensembl:ncRNA mir-307a mir-307a stem loop